rnacentral:rRNA from 1 species
UACGUAGGGAGCGAGCGUUGUCCGGAAUUACUGGGUGUAAAGGGAGCGUAGGCGGGACGGUAAGUCAGAUGUGAAAUUUAUGAGCUCAACUCAUAACCUGCAUUUGAAACUACUGUUCUUGAGUGAAGUAGAGGUAAGCGGAAUUCCUAGUGUAGCGGUGAAAUGCGUAGAUAUUAGGAGGAACAUCGGUGGCGAAGGCGGCUUACUGGGCUUUUACUGACGCUGAGGCUCGAAAGCGUGGGGAGCAAACAGG